GAGUUUGAUCCUGGCUCAGGACGAACGCUGGCGGUGCGCCUUAUGCAUGCAAGUUGAGCGAAGCUUUUUGGUAGUUUACUACUAGAAAUGACUGAGCGGCGAACGGGUGAGUAACGCGUGAGCAAUCUACCUUAGUUACUGGGAUAGCCCGAGGAAACUCGGAUUAAUACCAGAUAUUCUUAUUUUUUCACAUGAAGUUUUAAGGAAAGGUCAGCCGAACUAAGAUGAGCUCGCGUCCUAUCAGCUAGUUGGUGGGGUAAAAGCCUACCAAGGCAACGACGGAUAGCUGGUCUGAGAGGACGAUCAGCCACACUGGGACUGAGACACGGCCCAGACUCCUACGGGAGGCUGCAGCAGGGAAUAUUGUGCAAUGAGCGAAAGCUUGACACAGCGACACCGCGUGUGGGAUGACGGUUCUAGGAUUGUGAACCACUUUCAGGAGGGAAGAAAAUGACGGUACCUCCACAAGAAGACCCGGCCAACUAUGUGCCAGCAGCCGCGGUAAUACAUAGGGGUCAAGCGUUGUCCGGAUUUAUUGGGCGUAAAGAGCUCGUAGGCGGUUCAACAAGUCGGUCGUAAAAGUUUAGGGCUCAACCCUAAAAUGUCGAUCGAUACUGUUGUGACUAGGAUACGGUAGAGGUGAAGGAAUUCCGAGUGUAGCGGUGAAAUGCGUAGAUAUUCGGAGGAACACCAAUUGCGAAGGCAGUUCACUGGACCGUGAUCGACGCUGAGGAGCGAAAGCUAGGGGAGCAAACAGGAUUAGAUACCCUGGUAGUCCUAGCUGUAAACGAUGGAUACUAGAUGUAGGAACUGGAUUGACGGUUUCUGUAUCGUAGCUAACGCGUUAAGUAUCCCGCCUGGGGAGUACGGUCGCAAGACUAAAACUCAAAGGAAUUGACGGGACCCCGCACAAGCGGCGGAGCAUGCGGCUUAAUUCGAUGAUACCCGUAGAACCUUACCUGGACUUGACAUAUAGGGAAAAACUGGAGAAAUCCAGUGUGCGUAAGCGCCCUUUACAGGUGGUGCAUGGCUGUCGUCAGCUCGUGUCGUGAGAUGUUGGGUUAAGUCCCGCAACGAGCGCAACCCCUGUCCUAUGUUGCCAGCAAGUAAUGUUGGGGACUCAUAGGAGACUGCCGGUGAUAAACCGGAGGAAGGUGGGGAUGACGUCAAGUCAUCAUGCCCCUUAUGUCCAGGGCUGCACGCAUGCUACAAUGGCAAGUACAACGAGUCGCAAUACCGCGAGGUGGAGCAAAUCUCUUAAAGCUUGUCUCAGUUCGGAUAGGAGUCUGCAACUCGACUCCUUGAAGUUGGAGUCGCUAGUAAUCGCAAAUCAGCAAAGUUGCGGUGAAUACGUUCUCGGGGUUUGUACACACCGCCCGUC
rnacentral:rRNA from 1 species